rnacentral:rRNA from 1 species
CCUACGGGGGGCUGCAGUGGGGAAUAUUGGACAAUGGGCGAAAGCCUGAUCCAGCCAUGCCGCGUGUGUGAAGAAGGCCUUCGGGUUGUAAAGCACUUUCAGUGGGGAAGAAAGCCUUGGGGCUAAUACCCUCGAGGAAGGACAUCACCCACAGAAGAAGCACCGGCUAACUCCGUGCCAGCAGCCGCGGUAAUACGGAGGGUGCGAGCGUUAAUCGGAAUUACUGGGCGUAAAGCGCGCGUAGGCGGUCUGAUAAGCCGGUUGUGAAAGCCCCGGGCUCAACCUGGGAACGGCAUCCGGAACUGUCAGGCUAGAGUGCAGGAGAGGAAGGUAGAAUUCCCGGUGUAGCGGUGAAAUGCGUAGAGAUCGGGAGGAAUACCAGUGGCGAAGGCGGCCUUCUGGACUGACACUGACGCUGAGGUGCGAAAGCGUGGGUAGCAAACAGGAUUAGAUACCCCAGUAAUC